CAACGUCUUACACCGCAACAUGCAAUAGUUUCACAUUUAACUAUUUGUAAAAAAUAUUGUGACUCACGUACAUGAUUAGCUUACCAAGUAGCAUUAUUUUUCAACAUCAUAGCCUGUCAAUAUCCAGUCCAGUAACAAUUGGCGCAACACAUUCAACAACGACUGGAAAAUUAUCAAUGACUAACUUGCUCCAAAUGUCAGCCAACACAUUGCCCGCACUUUCGAAGUUUCGUUUUUCCAGAUCUAAGUCAGUAGUUCGAUUACUUGAAUCAAGAUAUGACCCAAAAUCAUCAUGAUUUAAUAGUACACUAGUACCCUGCAAGACGGAGGUAACAGAUUGCACAAACACAUUGAAACAUUUUCAGCUGUUCACUAACACUGUUACAUUUUCUGGAAUUUUCAAUGGAAUGGGAGAAUACGUAAGUAAGAUAGAGAAAAACUAUCGACAUUAUAAACAUAUUGUAAUGUUAACUUGUUAGAAUAGGAGAGGCGAAUACCCAAUAUUUCAAGAAGAAUAAACGAAAAGCGCAGUUUAUUUUGGAUUUUAAAGAGAGAAAACGAAAGAGGUUAACAAGGAGAAAAAGAAAUCAUUUGGACCAUUGGUAAAAUUCAAAUCUAUUGCGUGCAGCAACCAAAUAAUGGAGUAUGUUUUAAAUUAUUAAAGUAAAAUAGUGUAUAUUUAAUUCAAAUAUUUGUUAUAGAUUGUGCAUUUUAUUUUGAUUUUAUUAUUAAAUAAAGAGAAAUAAUAAAAAAA